rnacentral:rRNA from 1 species
GACGAACCGUGCGAACGUUGUUCGGAUUCACUGGGCUUAAAGGGCGCGUAGGCGGGCAACCAAGUCAGGGGUGAAAUCCUUCGGCUCAACCGGAGAACAGCCCCUGAUACUGGUCGUCUGGAGGGAGGUAGGGGUCUGUGGAACUUCUGGUGGAGCGGUGAAAUGCGUAGAUAUCAGAAGGAACGCCGGUGGCGAAAGCGACGGACUGGACCUUCUCUGACGCUGAGGCGCGAAAGCUAGGGGAGCAAACGGG